AAUAUUGCGCAAUGGAGGGAACUCUGACGCAGCGACGCCGCGUGAGCGAUGAAGGUCUUCGGAUCGUAAAGCUCUGUCCUUGGGGAAGAAGGGAGCCGUAAGGCUUCUUGACGGUACCCAUGGAGGAAGCCCCGGCUAACUACGUGCCAGCAGCCGCGGUAAUACGUAGGGGGCAAGCGUUGUCCGGAAUUACUGGGCGUAAAGGGCGUGUAGGCGGCCAUGUAUGUCAGGUGUGAAAUGCCACGGCUCAACCGGGGCACUGCACAUGAAACUGGAUGGCUUGAGUGCAGGAGAGGGAAGUGGAAUUCCUAGUGUAGCGGUGAAAUGCGUAGAUAUUAGGAGGAACACCAGUGGCGAAGGCGACUUCCUGGACUGUAACUGACGCUGAGGCGCGAAAGCGUGGGUAGCAAAC
rnacentral:rRNA from 1 species